rnacentral:rRNA from 1 species
GAGUUUGAUCCUGGCUCAGAGCGAACGCUGGCGGCGUGCCUAACACAUGCAAGUCGAGCGAGAAAGGGGGCUUCGGCCCCUGAGUACAGCGGCGAACGGGUGCGUAACACGUGGGUGAUCUGUCCUUGAGACGGGGAUAACCCAGCGAAAGUUGGGCUAAUACCGGAUAAGACCACGAGAGGACACUCUCGCGGUUAAAAGGGUGCUCUCUUCGGGGAGCAUUCGCUCGAGGAGGAGCCCGCGGCCUAUCAGCUUGUUGGUAGGGUAACGGCCUACCAAGGCAAAGACGGGUAGCUGGUCUGAGAGGAUGACCAGCCACACGGGGACUGAGACACGGCCCCGACUCCUACGGGAGGCAGCAGUGGGGAAUAUUGGGCAAUGGGGGAAACCCUGACCCAGCGACGCCGCGUGGGUGAUGAAGGCCUUCGGGUCGUAAAGCCCUGUCGGGAGGAACGAAUGAUCUCACGGUAAAUAGCCGUGAGAUGUGACGGUACCUCCGAAGGAAGCACCGGCCAACUCCGUGCCAGCAGCCGCGGUAA